rnacentral:snoRNA from 1 species
GGACAAUGACGAUGAUAUAGUGAAAGGUCUCGUUCGUCGUAACUGGCGUAACCCGCCUUGCCGACCAUCCUAUAUAUCACCACCCAUAAACCGAGUCC